UGUCAACACCAACGUCAACCCAAUCUACUAUGCUCAUACAGAGGCAAGAUCUACCGAAGCCUCCAGAUCUGAAAAACAUGGGGUAGAAACAGGGGAUGUUGACAUGGCAAAGUGAAGAGAAGAGAGCUACUAUGAUGCAGCAGGGCAACUCGAUGACACCCAUUAGGAAAGGGUCGCGAACGUAGUAAUGUUUGCUCUUCCUUUUCCUUUUAUAUGUUUCUUUAUGAUUUUAUCAUCAUGGAACUAUCGGGGCGCCGGAGCUUGCAGGACUGGAUCACCAGAUUGGAGGUAGCUCUUUUCGAAAUUGGCCUUGGAUUAAAGUCUUUGGAAAUGUAUGCUGGCUGUUAUGGACAAAUAGAUGCAAAUUCAUCUUUGAAGGCACCAAUCACACCUCUGAAGAGAUCAUCAAGAUGUGUAGAAGAAGGCUAAUGGAAGAAAGAGAUCUUGAACAUCUAAAGAUUCAUAGGCCUAUGAUGGAUGCUGCUCAACCUUCCAUUUGGGUGGCCCCAACACAAGGUACUAUACGAAUAGAUGUAGAUGCUUCAUUGUAUCAACAGAGUAGUGCAGCAUGCGCCCGAAAUUCUACAGGAGAUUGGUUGAAAGGUUUUAUGAGUAAUUUGGGAAAUUUGCCAAUUACUAUAUCUGAAGUCUAUUCUAUUAAGAAUGGGCUAAGGCUUUGUUCCAGUCUUAAUAUUGAGAAAGCUGUGAUAUAUUCUGAUUCCUUAGAGGCAAUUAAUCUGAUUUACAGGGGUGUUAACACUGGCCAUCCCUUUGUUGAAGCUAUCUAUGAAAUACAGGAAGCCAUAUGCUCUCAUGAUAAUUAUAGAAUCUUAUAUACUCCUAGGGACAACUUGUGCAGAUUUCUUAGCCAAAAUGGCUCAUGAUUGUCCCAAUGACUUUUCUUUGCUUAAUGUAGCUCCCUUUGGAUGUGAA